UGCGCGCACAGGUGUUCACCACAGGUGGAUGGUGAGGAAAUGUGCCGUCCUGUAAAACGAGUUCAGCUCUUCCCUGCCGUUAUUUGAGCUCAAUCACUCAUACAGCUUAGGAAUGGCUCACAGCUGCGUGGGGAACUGUGCGCCGUUAUUUUUCCUAGCCAUCGCUUUUGACGUCUGCGGUUUGAUAGUUAUUUUAGUUGGUAUUUUCGCCGAUCUAAAGUUGGACGGUCACUUCUACGGUGAUUUCCUAAUCUACACGGGUGCACUCAUCAUUUUCCUCAGUCUGGCUUGGUGGAUUUUGUGGUACACGGGCAACAUAAUGGUUUACUCCGAGGACUUUGAUAAAAGCACCCUGGACAAUUUUGCGCACAGGGCAAGAAAGUUUUCGGAAAGGAUCUCGAAGAGCAAUAUUAAAACUCUGGAAGCUGGGGAGAAGUGCAAGUGGAAUGGAAAGGAAUCAGUGAACGGAACGGUUCCUGAUCAAACUCUAUCACGAAUUACGUGUGAACACAGCAGCAGCCUGACGGGACGCGACAAUCUAGGAUAUGACCGAAGUUUUGACCACCAGCCUACAGCGAAAACGGUGGAGUUGGGGAUUCUGAAUAAUUCUGAGGUGUUGCAGAGCAUUAUGGAUGGAAAAGUGGUUAGGCUUCUCUGACACACAGUUGGGUUAACCGAAGGCCUUCAAAAAGGGGCGCCAGUGGCCUAACCCUGAUCUAGGUGAUCUCUGGUUCUCCGGUUUUGAAGAAAGUAUGCCUCACUCCUCCCCAAGAGCUGCUUUUUAAAUCCAUACAGACUGUAAACCUUUUCGCCUAUAUGAACUAAAGACACUUUAAAUAUAGAAGACUACUUUCAUUCAGGGAGAGGCCCCGCGCUGAAGCAAUCUCCGGGCCCUGCACAAAAGAUAGAAAUGUCUGUGAAUUUUACUUGUAAAUGGAUAAAUAACUAGAUUAUUUUAUGUCCUGAAUUUUACAUGGUCUGUUUUGAAGAUGUUUUUUUUAGAAAAUAAUAACUCAAUUUCUCUGGGUUCUUAAUCAGACAUCUGUGACUGGAUAGCUCACACAACAACAAAGAUAUUGGAUUCCACUUCUGCUGGAAGUAGGUGUUAUUCAGACAAAUUGAGGUUCCAGAAAGAGAGAAGUUAAUUAGAUAAUUAUAAUAUUCAAAAUUCAUUUGAGGGACAUCAACAAAUCAAAACAACUUCCAAAGCUCAGAUCCUUUAUUCAUGUUUGUGUUUGUGUCUGGUUAGCAGAUCAAUGCUACAUACCUAUCUGACUGGUCUGUUUGGGGUGUGUUGAUUGCAACUAAGCUGUCUGUCUGCCACUGGUUAUACUGAUUACAUAUUCCCCACACACACACACACACACACACACACACACACACACACACACACACACACACACACACACACACACACACACACACACACACACACACACACACACACUGAGACGGUAUAGAAUGUAUCAUGUAGAACAGAUUGUCUGUUCUAUUCAUUAUAUUUCUAUAUGCAACAUCCUGAACCUAGCUGAAUACACACCGGCACAAAGACUAUCUCCAUUCCAGAAACUGCCUUGUCACCUGUAAAAAAAUAAAUAAAUACAUCUUUACAAA